UACGUAGGCAGCGAGCGUUUGUUCGGAAUUACUGGGCGUAAAGAGUGUGUAGGCGGUGCUCUAAGUUCGGUGUGAAAUCUCCUGGCUCAACUGGGAGGGUGCGCCGGAAACUGGAGUGCUUGAGCGUGGGAGAGGAAAGCGGAAUUCCUGGUGUAGCGGUGAAAUGCGUAGAUAUCGGAAGGAACGCCGGUGGCGAAAGCGGCGUGCUGGACCUCUUCUGACGCUGAGGCGCGAAAGCGUGGGGAGCAAACAGG
rnacentral:rRNA from 1 species